CCCUUAGAUGUUCUGGGCUGCACGCGCGCUACACUGAUGCACUCAACGAGUUUACGACCUUGCCCGAUAGGGUUGGGUAAUCUUUUUAAAAUGCAUCGUGAUGGGGAUAGAUUAUUGCAAUUAUUAAUCUUCAACGAGGAAUUCCUAGUAAGCGCGAGUCAUCAGCUCGUGCUGAUUACGUCCCUGCCCUUUGUACACACCGCCCGUCGCUCCUACCGAUUGAGUGCUCAGGUGUAUAAUUCGGACUGCAGCAAUGUUUGGAUCCCGAACGUUGCAGCGGAAAGUUUAGUGAACCUUAUCACUUAGAGGAAGGAGAAGUCGUAACA
rnacentral:rRNA from 1 species